ACUCAAAGGAAUUGACGGGGGCCCGCACAAGCGGAGGAGCAUGUGGUUUAAUUCGAUGAUACGCGAGGAACCUUACCCGGGCUCGAACGUAUGUUGAAUAACAUGGAAACAAGUUAGUCGUAAGACAACAUACGAGGUGCUGCAUGGUUGUCGUCAGCUCGUGCCGUGAGGUGUCAGGUUAAGUCCUAUAACGAGCGCAACCCCUACUGUUAGUUGCCAGCAAGUAAUGUUGGGGACUCUAGCGGAACUGCCUACGCAAGUAGUGAGGAAGGUGGGGAUGACGUCAAAUCAGCACGGCCCUUAUGUCCGGGGCGACACACGUGCUACAAUGGUCGAUACAGAGGGCUGCUACGCGGCGACGCGGUGCUAAUCUCAAAAAUCGACCUCAGUUCGGAUCGGAGUCUGUAACUCGACUCCGUGAAGUUGGAUUCGCUAGUAAUCGCACAUCAGCCAUGGUGCGGUGAAUACGUUCCCGGGCCUUGUACACACCGCCCGU
rnacentral:rRNA from 1 species